UACAGAGGUCUCAAGCGUUGUUCGGAUUCAUUGGGCGUAAAGGGUGUGUAGGUGGCGCGCUAAGUCGGGUGUGAAAUUUCGGAGCUUAACUCCGAAACUGCAUUCGAUACUGGCGUGCUUGAGGACUGGAGAGGAGACUGGAAUUCAUGGUGUAGCAGUGAAAUGCGUAGAGAUCAGGAGGAACACCAAUGGCGAAGGCAGCACUCUGGGACGUGACUGACGCUGAGACGCGAAAGCGUGGGGAGCAAACAGG
rnacentral:rRNA from 1 species